rnacentral:rRNA from 1 species
UACGUAGGGGUGCAAGCGUUUUUUGUCCGGAAUUUAUUUGGGCGUAAAGAGCUCGUAGGCGGCUUUGUUUGCGUCAGCUGUGAAAAACCCGCAGCUCAACUGUGGGCUUUGCAGCUGAUACGGGCAGGCUUUGAGUUUCGGUAGGGGGAGACUGGAAUUCCUGGUGUAGCGGUGAAAAUGCGCAGAUAUCAGGGAGGGAAACACC